rnacentral:lncRNA from 1 species
UAAAUACUUCAGCAAAUAUUUUAUGAGUGGUUAUACUAAUUACCUUGUAAGAGACUAAGAUAAAGGUAUGGCUAUGGUAAGUACCACCUCUGCACUAAUGGAGCUCACAGCUGAAUGUGUAAAAGGUGCAUAUAAGAACAGAACAAUCCCUCUCUGACUCUGGCUUAGGAAGGGAUGUGGAAAAAACAAGUCUUGAAGAAGGAUUCAAGAGAAUUUUGUUUCCAAUAAUGGAUGAGUUAGUCUGCAAACACUGAAAAUAAGAACAUAUGGACAAAAAUAGAAAGAAUGUGCUCGAAGGCAUCAGAAAGCUAAUAAGGCAGUGAAGAAAAUCCAGUAGGAAAAAACACAGAAUUAUAAGUAAGCCCGGCAUUUUAAGCCAUUUCCCCCCAGGUUCAUCCAUGCAUUGAAGACAAUGCAGAUAUGUAAGAAGGUUGAAAAGAACUUUCAACAGAUCCCUGGGUUGAGAGAAACAAGAAGCGGAGGGAGUUCAGGGCUGCCAAUGAGAAGGACCCCUAGUAAAAGCCCUAGGCUUUGGGUUGAGACCAGAAAAGAGCUGCACACUUGGAGUAUUGAACAGGCAAUAAAUACAAUGUCCUUUAAAGGAACUAAGCCAUUUUUGAAUGAUUUUAAUUGCUAACUGGAAUAAAGUAAUGACCACCUGCUAGAGGUAAUCUCAUAUCUUUUAUGUAGGAUGAUAACAUCAUCUUAGACCUCAAAUUUCCCCUACAAUUUUCAAAAACAAUGUUCACCACUCCAUCAAAACCAACCAGACAUUCCACAAGACAAGACAAUGUAAUCACAAUCUAGAAGACCAGAGAAACACACUCAUAAGGGAUCCACAUAAUAGGAUUACCACAUAGAUUUUAAAGCAAUUGUGCCUUACAAAUUGAAGGAAGUACAAGUCAAGAUUACACAUUUCAGCAGAGGAUUAGAAACUAUAAAAGUGAAAAAUAGUGAAACCAAAAAGAACUCAAUGAUUUUAGCAGAUUAGACAACUGAGGUGAGAUUUUUAGCACAUUGGAAGAUAGGUCAGAAGAAAACAUCCAGAAUGAAGCAUAUUCAGAAUGUAGGAGGCAUUGGGCGAGGGGUAGGGGUGGGAGAUCCUAGUAUGUUGAAUUGGAUUCUCAGGACAAGUGAGAAUAAGAUAGAAUUAAUAUGUGAAAAAAGAGGCUCCAAACUCAAGAGAUGUUUAUAACCUCAAGCAGUAUAAAUGCAAAAGAAAAAGCAGGAGGGUAGGGUGGAAGGGUGAUGACAAAACCCUACAUGUAGGCACCUCCCAAGAAAACUGCUGAAAAACCAAAAAGAAAAUGACGAAAGGCAGCUAGGGCAGGCAUAAAACAUUUGAAAAAAGAGAAAAGAGAAAAUAAGAAUGAUAAUAGAUUCCUCAAAGAAACUUUAAAACUAGAGGAUAACUGGUUAUCUUUAAAGUGCUGAUACUAAACAACUAUCGAAAUUCCAGAACCAGCAGAAAGAUCCUUUUAAAAUGGAGUCAAACUAAAGACAUUUUCAUACAAAAGUAAACUCACUGAACCUGCAUUAAAGUAUAUUCUUUGGCCGGGCGCGGUGGCUCACACCUGUAAUCCCAGCACUUUGGGAGGCCGAGGCGGGUGGAUCACGAGGUCAGGAGAUUGAGACCAUCCUGGCUAACACAGGUGAAACCCCAUCUCUACUAAAAAUACAAAAAAAAUUAGCCGGGCAUGGUGGCGGGCGCCUGUAGUCCCAGCUACUCGGGAGACUGAGUAGCUGGGACUACAGGUGUGUGCC